rnacentral:rRNA from 1 species
AGAGUUUGAUAUGCUCAGGAUGAACGCUAGCUACAGGCUUAACACAUGCAAGUCGAGGGGAAACGACAUCGAAAGCUUGCUUUUGAUGGGCGUCGACCGGCGCACGGGUGAGUAACGCGUAUCCAACCUGCCCACCACUUGGGGAUAACCUUGCGAAAGUAAGACUAAUACCCAAUGAUAUCUCUAGAAGACAUCUGAAAGAGAUUAAAGAUUUAUCGGUGAUGGAUGGGGAUGCGUCUGAUUAGCUUGUUGGCAGGGUAACGGCCCACCAAGGCAACGAUCAGUAGGGGUUCUGAGAGGAAGGUCCCCCACAUUGGAACUGAGACACGGUCCAAACUCCUACGGGAGGCAGCA